UACGAAGGGGGCUAGCGUUGCUCGGAAUCACUGGGCGUAAAGCGCACGUAGGCGGAUUGCUAAGUCAGGGGUGAAAUCCUGGAGCUCAACUCCAGAACUGCCUUUGAUACUGGCGAUCUCGAGUCCGGGAGAGGUGAGUGGAACUGCGAGUGUAGAGGUGAAAUUCGUAGAUAUUCGGAGGAACACCAGUGGCGAAGGCGGCUCACUGGUCCGGUACUGACGCUGAGGUGCGAAAGCGUGGGGAGCAAACAGG
rnacentral:rRNA from 1 species